GAUGAACGCUAGCGGCAGGCCUAACACAUGCAAGUCGAGGGGGAAGUUACUUUCGGGUGACUGAGACCGGCGUACGGGUGCGUAACGCGUAUACAAUCUGCCUUUCACUGGGGGAUAGCCCGAAGAAAUUUGGAUUAAUACCCCAUAGUAUAUAGGGACGGCAUCGUUUUUAUAUUAAAGCUUAGGUGGUGAAAGAUGAGUAUGCGUUCUAUUAGCUAGUUGGAGAGGUAACGGCUCCCCAAGGCGAUGAUAGAUAGGGGUUCUGAGAGGGGUGUCCCCCACACUGGUACUGAGAUACGGACCAGACUCCUACGGGAGGCAGCAGUGAGGAAUAUUGGACAAUGGUCGGAAGACUGAUCCAGCCAUGCCGCGUGCAGGAUGAAGGUCUUAUGGAUUGUAAACUGCUUUUGUAAGGGAAGAAUAAGGGCUACGCGUAGUUUGAUGACGGUACCUUACGAAUAAGCAUCGGCUAACUCCGUG
rnacentral:rRNA from 1 species